rnacentral:rRNA from 1 species
AGCGGCGGACGGGUGAGUAACGCGUGGGUAACCUGCCUCAUACAGGGGGAUAACACAGGGAAACUUGUGCUAAUACCGCAUAACAUAACGAGGCGGCAUCGCUUUGUUAUCAAAGGAGCAAUCCGGUAUGAGAUGGGCCCGCGUCCGAUUAGCUAGUUGGUGAGGUAACGGCUCACCAAGGCGACGAUCGGUAGCCGAACUGAGAGGUUGAUCGGCCACAUUGGGACUGAGACACGGCCCAGACUCCUACGGGAGGCAGCAGUGGGGAAUAUUGCGCAAUGGGGGAAACCCUGACGCAGCAACGCCGCGUGAAGGAAGAAGGCCUUCGGGUUGUAAACUUCUUUGAUUGGGGACGAAGAAAGUGACUGUACCCAAAAAACAAGCCACGGCUAACUACGUGCCAGCAGCCGCGGUAAUACGUAGGUGGCAAGCGUUGUCCGGAAUUACUGGGUGUAAAGGGCGUGUAGGCGGGGAUGCAAGUCAGAUGUGAAAUUCCGGGGCUUAACCCCGGCGCUGCAUCUGAAACUGUAUCUCUUGAGUGCUGGAGAGGAAAGCGGAAUU